rnacentral:rRNA from 1 species
AGAGUUUGAUCCUGGCUCAGGACAAACGCUGGCGGCGUGCCUAACACAUGCAAGUCGAACGGACCCUUCGGGGUUAGUGGCAGACGGGUGAGUAACACGUAGGUAAUGUACCUUCUUGCUGGGGAUACCUACCCGAAAGGGUGGUUAAUACCGAAUGGUCUCAUACUGCGGCAUCGCGGUAUGAGUAAAGUGUUCAGCGCGAGAGGAUCAGCCUGCGGGCCAUCAGCUUGUUGGUGGGGUAACGGCCUACCAAGGCAUCGACGGUUAGCCGGUCUGAGAGGAUGAUCGGCCACACUGGAACUGAGAGACGGUCCAGACUCCUACGGGAGGCAGCAGUGAGGAAUAUUGCGCAAUGGGCGGAAGCCUGACGCAGCGACGCCGCGUGAGGGAUGAAGGUUUUCGGAUCGUAAACCUCUGUUAAGCAGGGAAGAGAACGGACGGUACCUGCUGAGGAAGCAUCGGCUUACUACGUGCCAGCAGCCGCGGUAAUACGUAGGAUGCGAGCGUUGUCCGGAUUUACUGGGCGUAAAGAGCUUGUAGGCGGGAAUGCACGUCUUCGAUGAAAUUGCACGGCUUAACCGUGCAGCUAUUGGAGAUACGGUAUUUCUUGAGGGCAGAAGAGGAGAACGGAAUUCCCAGUGUAGCGGUGAAAUGCGUAGAUAUUGGGAAGAACACCGGCGGCGAAGGCGGUUCUCUGGUCUGUCACUGACGCUAAAGAGCGAAGGCGUGGGUAGCGAACGGGAUUAGAUACCCCGGUAGUCCACGCGGUAAACGAUGGAUACUAGGUGUAUGAGGUAUUGACCCCUUAUGUGCCGCAGCUAACGCAUUAAGUAUCCCGCCUGGGGAGUACGGCCGCAAGGUUGAAACUCAAAGGAAUUGACGGGGGCCCGCACAAGUGGUGGAGCAUGUGGUUUAAUUCGACGCUACGCGAAGAACCUUACCU